UACGUAGGGUGCAAGCGUUAUCCGGAAUUAUUGGGCGUAAAGGGCUCGUAGGCGGUUUGUCGCGUCGGGAGUGAAAACUCAGGGCUUAACCCUGAGCCUGCUUCCGAUACGGGCAGACUAGAGGUAUGCAGGGGAGAACGGAAUUCCUGGUGUAGCGGUGAAAUGCGCAGAUAUCAGGAGGAACACCGGUGGCGAAGGCGGUUCUCUGGGCAUUACCUGACGCUGAGGAGCGAAAGUGUGGGGAGCGAACAGG
rnacentral:rRNA from 1 species